GACGAACGCUGGCGGCGUGCCUAAUACAUGCAAGUCGAGCGAAGUUUUUCUGGUGCUUGCACUAGAAAAACUUAGCGGCGAACGGGUGAGUAACACGUAAAGAACCUGCCUCAUAGACUGGGACAACUAUUGGAAACGAUAGCUAAUACCGGAUAACAGCAUUAACUGCAUGGUUGAUGUUUAAAAGUUGGUUUUGCUAACACUAUGAGAUGGCUUUGCGGUGGAUUAGCUAGUUGGGGGGGUAAAGGCCUCCCAAGGCGACGAUGCAUAACCGACCUGAGAGGAGGAACAGUCACACUGGAACUGAGACACGGGCCAGACGCCGACGGGAGGGAGCAGUGGGGAAUAUUGGACAAUGGGUGGAAGCCUGAUCCGGACAUGGGGCGUGUGUGAAGAAGGUCUUCGGAGUUUAAAGCACUGUAAGUUGGGAGGAAGGGCAGUAAGUGAAUAACUUGCGGUGUGGACGUUACCAACAGAAUAAGCACCGGCUAACGUCGUG
rnacentral:rRNA from 1 species